rnacentral:pre_miRNA from 1 species
AGUGGGAAAGCUGGGUCAUAUGGUGGUUCUUAGUUGUUCAAGGAAUUGCCACACUGUUUUCCAAAGUGGUUGCACCAAUUUGCAGUCCCACCAGCAAU